UACGUAGGGUGCGAGCGUUAAUCGGAAUUACUGGGCGUAAAGCGUGCGCAGGCGGUUUUGUAAGCCAGAUGUGAAAUCCCCGGGCUUAACCUGGGAAUGGCAUUUGGGACUGCAAGGCUGGAGUGUGGCAGAGGAGACUGGAAUUCCCGGUGUAGCAGUGAAAUGCGUAGAUAUCGGGAGGAAUACCGAUGGCGAAGGCAGGUCUCUGGGCCACUACUGACGCUGAGAAGCGAAAGCAUGGGGAGCGAACAGG
rnacentral:rRNA from 1 species